AUGAGCAAUUUAAGGCGUCUCAUUUGUUCUAAACCAACCUUCAAGCCUCAACAACCUUCAUUCUACAACCAACCUUCAAGCCUCAACAACCUUCAAAAGUCUCUGCAUCCUCACAACUUUAUCAUCUUCACGAAUCGUCAUCUCCAAUUAACAGAUCCUGCAACCGAAUUCAUCAACUCUCAAUCUUCAAUUCUUCAACAUCUUUGUAUCUACCACAACCAACAAUUCUCCAUCAUCUUUCUCUCUACUUCAGGUGCAUAUCAACACCGCUUCAUUGAUUCUUCAUCUACAUCAACAAAUUGCAAGAACCUUUUUCAACAUCAAGAUCGAAUAUGUGGUACUUUCACUCUACAUCAGCAA